GAGCAGAUAUUAGUAUUGAGCAAUGGCCAGAUUUAUGGACUGCAGUGUAUAAUCUCAUAAUCAUUUUUAUUAGCUUAUAGUUAUCUACCUUAUAGUUAUCUACAGUCUUUCUACUACCUCUCUGUAAAAUCUGAUGCUCUGAAUCCAACGCGUUCCACUGAAGCGCUUUGUCUAAGCAUCCACCAUUACCUUACUUUUCCCAAUUUAGCAAUCUUUAAGUGGGCGUUUCUCAAUAUCGCUAUUUCAGAACUUUGAGUUUCCAACGCGCAUAACUCAGGCAUGAAAAGAGGUAUGUGCAAACUAAGCAUAUCAAUGUAUAGGCAAUUCUUUUGCUCUAUCAUCUGGUAUUUAAAUCUCAACAAUUGUAGCCUGCUCCAAUAUGGCCACAAAUAGCAUACAAAAUAGGACAGAUACCUUCAACACAACAAAUGUGGCAAGAGCAUCGGUACCCGGAAGAGCUCCUGGCGGUUCUGCACAAAGACUGACGAUGAGCUAUUAAUAAUAAAUUCUUCAAUAAAUUAAAAUUAAUUAUACUGACUCCAUGCACUUAAGGCCUGGGCCUUGUACUGAUAGCAUUAAUUUUAUUCAUUACCUAGUGUCAUAAUCUUUAUCAGUGCAUGUGAUGUCAUGAGUCAAUGUGUUUGCCUAGCGCUGGAACUAUUAUACAAUAUCUUUAGCAGCUGAGUUAAGAGUAGAGUAGAGUAGAGUAGCCCUCAAAAGAUAGAGUAUGUUGUCAUGAUUAUGUUUCCCAAGUGGGGAGUCAAUAUGUGUCUUAGCUAUACUGGCUUCUUUAGCCAGGCUAUGUUGUGUAUCUCAAGAAUACAGUAACUGCUACUCUCCCCAUUUAUGAUACUAGUACCUAGCAAUGAAUUGUUCAUCUAGCCUUGUUUUUGAAGCUUGCCAUCUCGUUUUGCAGUUUUCUUACUAAAAGUGGCAUGACGUCUUUUUUUAACUCUCUUCCCUUUGCAGUUCGCUAAAUAUAGCCACCACGUGGGAAUGUCAUAUACGCAAAUUGUUGCAAAGGUAUGAGAUGAAAUCCUAUAUGAUUGAUGAAUAUGUUAUUUUUUGUGUCGACUCAUUGAGUGUUGAGAAAUAUAUCGUUGAAAAAAUACCACUUUUGUUGCUUCUCAAUGAAUUCUAUUCGACCGUGUACUUGCAUUCUGUGUGGUAAGAAAAACAAUAAAUACUACUCUCAUUAUCAAACAUGGGGUCCAAAAGAGAGAGAUUUUGUAGAAGCUCAUUAUAAUAUUAUUCCAAAAUGGAGUAAUGUUAUUUAUACACAUAAGUGUGUGUAUCCUGAAUGCCCCAGCGACAGUCACCAUCAUUUGCCACAGUCAGUGAGCUCAAAGGUUUUCUAAAUGUUAGCAGUAAUGUGUUAGACUACUGUGCAAUGACCACUAUCAUUAUGUGUACAAAGGUACAACGUACCGCUGUGGGAUUCAACCCCAGUCUUUCAAAAACUUAACAGACACUGUCCAGACGUCCUGUGUGGAGAGGAGAGUAUUACUGAUAACGUGUCAUAUGUUUAGCUUGCUACAGAACACAGUUAGCAAUUUGCAAAUCUUACUGUGAUGGAAGCAAAGGCCAACUUGAAUUUUUAAUGGGAACAUACUCAACAUACACAAUCUGAUCCAAGCUGACCAAAUGCAUACUGCAUGUAGCGUUGCAUAAAUCAAGCCAUAUUAAUUACCGACUUUGUCUAGAAUGUUUGUGAGUAUGUACAUGGACAACUCACCAAAAGAAUUAAAUUUUCAUAUAAAUGGCUAGAUUUCAAGUGCGUGCAUAGGCGAUAUGGUACAGUUUUAUAUGCAAAAAACGGGGAUUUGAUAACAAGCCUAUCCUGGGCAUGGGCUCAAAGCACCACAGAUGUCACGUAUGAGACAACGCCCAGUAACGAUGCUAUAUCAAGAAGAGCCGGGGAUAUAGUGAACGAUUUAGUUCACACAGAAAGUGACUGGUACAGUCAGCUCGAUGCUAAGUUCAACAAUAAAACACCUCAAUAUAAACUGGAAUCUCUGAUGAACGCUUGUGGUUAAGUCUAUCACAAGGACAAUGAGAAACACUACCAAAGAUGUAUCUGGCACACUGCACUGGAAGGCAAUGUACAUGUAUAUGUCUACCCGACGACACCGAUUAUCAGACUUAAAGCUACCUAUAAUCUGACGAUGGCCUGAAGGCUUCCGAUUACUGUCCUUCGGUACAGUCUCUUGACGAGCCCAAAGCACCAGUCCGGAGAAAAUUUGGUGUGUCCAACUACCAGAAAUGAGAGAGUGAUGUGAGAGUGGUGGUUGGUCAUCGAGCGCCAUAGCAGUUUCCCGCCUCAUCACAGAGGAAAUUGACUUGGCGGGGAAUUGCCUCACAGCACACCCCAAACACCAAACAAAGAGCACUUCCGAGAUCCCUACCUGUUGAGCGUAAUCGAAAGAGUAAUGACUCUCGAUAUCCAAAGAGUUCGGAGGAGUGUUUGAAGACAGCGGCGGUGGGGUGAAUUCUCCGUCUUGCUCAAAGUGUGAGCGGAUAGUCACUCUGCACUGGUCGCAUACAGUCUUGUAGUAUGAUCUCUCCUUCUGAACUUUGUCCAGAUGCUCCAUGUAGGCUGUCAGGUUCUCGGCAAGUGGCGUGUUGACUGCACGAGAGAGUGCUGUGCUGUUCUGCUGGCAGGUCCAGCACAGAUCAGUCAUAGGCUUCGUCACAACCAGUUUCCAUACUGACCUCUUUGAGGUGCUUGAGGGUAGCAACCUGAUGUCAGUCUUUCGGAACCCAGGGACUCUACCGGGUAGGACAAGAGCAUUCUGGAAAGGUACUAAACGUACCUACAAAAUGGGUAAAUCUGAAAAACCGAGUACACACGGGUUUCCCCUGGUGGCUGUAGCUGUUCUUCCUCUCUGCCGCUACGUGUCGAGAUUCAACCACCACACCAUCGCUGAAAUUUGUCCCAAAAGAGCCAUGUCAAGUUCGUCGUGUGAAAGUUCAUUGCAGGCCAUUCUCAUCUUUGUUAUGUGAGUAACAGUGAAUUGUUUCAAGCAGGGGCUACCACGCCAAUUUUUGUUUUUACCCGCCCCUUUUCUUGACGAGGGUGUGCUCAAUGGGACGAGGGGUGCUGAUUCGAAGUCCCACACAAGCGACAUGAUGUUGUUUUGGAAACUCAAAGACUACGGCACACCU